rnacentral:lncRNA from 1 species
UUAUUAUAAUUUCUUCUAGGUGAUAAAUUAUGAUGGACAAUAUAUUGCAUUUGAACAUUCUCUGAUAUAUUUCUUGCAGAUGCUAAUAUAUAAUGAGAAUUUAAAAUCAAAUUGAAUGAAAUGCUGAUUUUUGAUGGAGUUUAUGAAAUAUUCUAGUACUUUACCAUCUCAAUUUGGUAUUUCUCCUGAAACUUCUAGUUACUAUCCAUUCAAACCAUGGUUUCUUUGCAUGAUUUAUGACAUUUUUGAUAUGCUAGUGUGUACACUACUGAACAUGUUAGGAAAGAAAAAGAUAUCCAAAUCUUGUCGAUUGUUCUUUGCAAUAUAGUGUAGAGUAUAUUACCAUCUACUACAAGGUUCCAUUCUCACUGAUUAUUGUUGUGCAUGGGGCAGGAUUUACCAAAACCCAGCCAUUUUAAGGGCUGCCUCUGCGGCAUUCUGGACUUCCUGUCAUGUUAUAUCAAAGCUUUUCCGAUGCAACUUAAAGAUGGAUGAAUGCUUGAACGUUGAAUCUGUGGUCGUC